rnacentral:rRNA from 1 species
CUAGCCGUAAACGAUGGAUACUAGGCGUUGUGAGUAUCGACCCUCACAGUGUCGUAGCUAACGCGUUAAGUAUCCCGCCUGGGGAGUACGCACGCAAGCGUGAAACUCAAAGGAAUUGACGGGGGCCCGCACAAGCGGUGGAGUAUGUGGUUUAAUUCGAUGCAACGCGAAGAACCUUACCAGGACUUGACAUGUCGCGAAUCUCAGGGAAACUUGAGAGUGCCUUCGGGAGCGCGAACACAGGUGGUGC